UACGAAGGGGGCUAGCGUUGUUCGGAUUUACUGGGCGUAAAGCGCACGUAGGCGGAUCGUUAAGUCGGGGGUGAAAUCCUGGAGCUCAACUCCAGAACUGCCUUCGAUACUGGCGAUCUUGAGUCCGGAAGAGGUGAGUGGAACUCCUAGUGUAGAGGUGGAAUUCGUAGAUAUUAGGAAGAACACCAAUGGCGAAGGCAGCUCGCUGGAACGGUACUGACGCUGAGGCGCGAAAGCGUGGGGAGCGAACAGG
rnacentral:rRNA from 1 species